GCCAGGGGUCAUAUGCUCAGUUAAAAGAUUAAGCCAUGCACGUGUAAGUUCACAUCUUUUAUGGUGAAACCGCGAAUGGCUCAUUACAACAGCUAUAAUUUACUUGAUGUUGACUAUCCUACUUGGAUAACUGCGGUAAUUCUGGAGCUAAUACAUGCAUCAAAGCUCUGACACCCUCGGAGCGCAUUUAUUAGAACAAAACCAAUCGGCUUUGGCCGUUUGUUGUUGACUCUGAAUAACUUAGCUGAUCGCAUGGUCUUGUACCGGCGACAUAUCUUUCAAGUAUCUGCCUUAUCAACUUUCGAUGGUAGUUUAUGUGCCUACCAUGGUUGCAACGGGUAACGGAAAAUAAGGGUUUGGUAUUCCGGAGAGGGAGCCUGAGAAACGGCUACCACAUCUAAGGAAGGCAGCAGGCGCGCAAAUUACCCACUGGAGGUGCUCCGAGGUAGUGACUAACAAUAACGAGACCGUCUUCUAUGAGGCCGGUUAUC
rnacentral:rRNA from 1 species